UUCAUUGAUAUUAAAAAGUAAUUUUAUUGAGAUUGGAUUGAGCUUUUAAUUGAUGUUUCUUUUAAUACAUUGCCCAUUAAUAUAUUAGUUUUUUUUUUUUUUUUCCAAGCAGAAAUAGAAAAGGGAAGCUUAUUGAGUUCAUUUAAGCUGUAACUUAGUUGCUCAAUAGCUCAGUUGACUCUUUGAUAAAAUUACAUCUCUAAAUGUAGUGCUUAAUUUUUAAGAUCAGCGGGAAAACCUAAGUGUAUCCUUGGUAUAAGUAGAUGCGUUUUCUGGCACAUAGAAAAGAAUAGAGAUGUAAGGAAUGCUAAUUUAGUUGUGUAAUAUCAAGUGCCAUCCGAUAAACAACUAUUUAUAUGAGAACAAUGAAUUGAUUGUUGAAGUUAAUCCAAAAGAGAGGUAUAAGAUAUACCUUAAUUUUUAGGGACGGAGCUGCAUUAAUGCCCUGAUAUUUAUAGAAUACAAAAGUAGUUUUCCUCGUAUUUCUCCAUUGCUACUAAUUAAUUUUGUUUCAAAAUUGUACAUUUAGAAAUUUGGUUUCUAUAUUUUUAUCUAUGCACCUAAAAUAUUUCAUCGCUUCCAAAGCUCACAUACUCUAAUAUCUUGGAGAGAGAGAGCUAUGCUUGAGAGUCGUUUUAUUAGGAAAGUGAUGAUAAUGUCCAGAGUAAAAUUGCAAUUUAUUAGUGAACCAUGGUUCAAGUCAAUAUCGAAUUAGGUGCUCCAAAUUUGUCUAUUUGUUAGUUUCCAAUGUUACAUUAAAAUGUGCAUAGUUUUGUUUAUUUAUAAUUCCAAGCCGCGUGUUAGAAGCACCCUCUCUCUUAAUUAUUGGCAUGACGCAUAAAGUGAGAGUGCCCAAGGUGGUAGUGGAGCCAGUGGAAGUUGAAGAAGGUCAAUAUCCUCAUCGGAACACAGACUGUUAUCACAGAAGGCUUUGUCAAGAUAUCGAGAUGGCAAGCCUACGAACAAUGCAGCAAGGUUCUACAAGUGGUUUGUAUUGGUAAAGUAAAAUUGUAGAGGGUUACAUUCUCCAUAGGACUCUGCAUUAGAUUUAGGUUAAUUUUUAUAUGCAAUGCAGGGAGAAGAGAGAGGUGAGUGGAUUAAGAAUCUUAAUUAUGGAGUAUUUGACCUUGGAAACAUAAAUUAUGAGUAUUAUAACAAGGUCUAAGAUUGAUAGUUAGAAGAUAUAAAUAAAGUCCAGUUCUACAUUAGCUCAGAUCUCUACAUCUCAAAUUUUAUUGUUCAGUAAAUCUUAUUGGUAAUAAUUAGUUGAUUUUUUUUCUUUUGUUUUGGUUGUUCGAGGUUUUAAGAGAUCAUUCCCAAAAUACUACAAUGUUUGACAUCCUUCGGAGUUUGUUGAGUUCAGAUUUGCUUGUUAAGGUCUACUGAAGGAGACCUAAUCCCAGUCGAUCCAGAAAUAGAACGAACUUUACAUCGAAUGCAGCGAGAAAAUAGAGAAGCACAACAACCGAUGGCUAGUGUUCAGAACAAUCCCAUUUUUCAAGCCAAUGAAGAAGGGGCAGCGAAUGGAGGUAAUAUGCUUGUAGUAGACUUCAUUACCCCUCAGAUAAUUUAGAGCUCGUCGAGAAUCGUGUAUCCACCGUUUGGGUAGCCUAACUUCCAAUUGAAGACCAACGUGAUACAAGUGUUGCAAAACGGACAUCAAUUCUACGAAAGAACUGAAGAGAAUCCACAUACACACGUUUCUCGCUUUUUGGAGAUGUGCCAACACUUCAGAUAUCAAGGAGUCCCAAACAAUGCAAUCAAAUUAAGGUUGUUCCCACAUACACUGUGCAAUAAGGUAAUCGAAUGUCUAGAUUUGCAACCAAUCGCUAGUAUAAUUGUAUGAAAUGAUCUAACUCAGAAAUUCUACGUCAAGUUCUUCCUACCCGCCAAGAUUGUAAAGCUCGAGCAUGAUCUAUCUGUUUUCCAUCAAGGCGAUUCAGAGAAUUUUGAUGAAGCCUGGAAUAGGUUCAAAAAUAUGCUGUGAAAAUGUCCACAUCAUGGGAUUAGCAAGGAACUCCAGGUCUGAUACUUCUACGAGGGAUUAUUUCCAUCCUUCAAGAGCACAGUUGACUCAUCAUCUAAUGGAUCACUGUCCACAAAGACAAUUGAUGAAGCAUUAAAACUAUUUGAGGCUGAGGCUAUGGCUACUAAAUCGGCUAUGUGGACAUCGGAACAAGCAGUUCAGAAGAGGACGCCGAGAGUUUAUUAAGUGGAUGUUUGUUCUGCCUUUUCUGCCAAAAUUGACUUAUUAUUUCAUAAAGUGGAAAACAUGUCACAAUCAGCUAUCACAGCACUGUUGAAGAAGGCCAGCUGUGAGGAAUGUGGAGCCAAACAUGUAACAACAGAGUGUCCAAUUUUGGUACAAGGAAUAGAGAAGACAGAUUUUGCUCAAUGGGGACAGCAUCAACAGAGCAAUUCAUUUGCGAAAACAUACAAUACGAGUUGGAAAAAGCACCAUAAUUUCUCUUGGAGCAACCAAAAUCAGAAUAGGUCAUAGGAUCAAUAUCAGCAGCAAGAGAAAAAGCCUCAAAUGAAAGAGAUGUUUGGUAAAUUUAUGGAAAAGACCAAUCAGCAUGUGGAGACUAAUCAUCAAUUCAUGAGAAAAACUGAGGCCACUCUUCAAAACCAGAAUGCAGCUAUCAAAAAUCUUGAGACUCAAAUGGAAUAGAUGGCCAUUGCUUUGAUUGGCAAAGCACUAGACAGUUUGCCAAGUAACACGGAAAUAAACCUUAAAGAACAUGCUUAGGCAAUUACAACUCGAAGUCAAAGGCAACUACCUAAGAUACACAUUAAAAAGCUGGGUGUAAAUCAAGAAACAUCUCCUGCGAUAGAAGAGACUAUAGAGCAUAACGAGCAAAUAAAGGAAUCUACCCCAGCUGAAGCGCAGGCAAAUCACAGGGUAAAGACACAGUAACUGUCAACUCUCAUAAGCCUCCCAUAAUUUUUCCACAAAGGCUAAAGGAGCAUAAGUUGGAGCAGCAAUAUAAAAGCUUCUCGAUGUUUUCAAGAAGCUCCACAUAAACAUCCCAUUCGUUAAAGCAUUAGUUUAGAUGCCUAGCUACGCAAAAUUCCUAAAGGACAUCCUAUCAAAUAAACAUAAGCUGGAAGAAUAUGAGACGGUCAUGCUAAUUAAGAAAUGUAGCCAGAAUUCAGAAAAAACUUCCAUCGAAAUUGAAAAAUUUAGGAAGUUUUACUAUUCCUUGCACUAUUUGUGAAGUUUAUUUUGAUAAAACUUUGUGUAAUCUAGGUGCAAGUAUUAAUUUGAUGACUGUAUUCGUUUUCAAAAAACUUGGAUUAGGAGAGGCAAAAGCUACAACAGUGACGCUGCAAUUGGUUGACAAAUCGUUGACACAUCCAAGAGGAAUAAUAGAUGACGUG